UACGUAGGGGGCAAGCGUUGUCCGGAUUUAUUGGGCGUAAAGAGCGUGUAGGCGGUUUGGUAGGUCCGCUGUGAAAACUCGAGCUCAACCUCGAGACGCCGGUGGAAACUGUCGGGCUAGAGUCCGGAAGAGGCGAGUGGAAUUCCCGGUGUAGCGGUGAAAUGCGCAGAUAUCGGGGAGGAACACCAAUGGCGAAGGCAGCUCGCUGGGACGGUACUGACGCUGAGACGCGAAAAGCGUGGGGGAGCAAAACAGGG
rnacentral:rRNA from 1 species